UACAGAGGUCUCAAGCGUUGUUCGGAUUCAUUGGGCGUAAAGGGUGUGUAGGUGGCGCGCUAAGUCGGGUAUGAAAUUUCGGAGCUUAACUUCGAAACUGCAUUCGAUACUGGCGUGCUUGAGGACUGGAGAGGAGACUGGAAUUUCCGGUGUAGCGGUGAAAUGCGUAGAUAUCGGAAGGAACACCAGUGGCGAAAGCGGCUUCCUGGUCCCAGCACC
rnacentral:rRNA from 1 species